rnacentral:misc_RNA from 1 species
GAUGAAGAACGUAGCGAAAUGCGAUAAGUAAUGUGAAUUGCAGAAUUCAGUGAAUCAUCGAAUCUUUGAACGCACAUUGCGCCCGCCAGUAUUCUGGCGGGCAUGCCUGUUCGAGCGUCAUUUCAACCAUCAAGCCCCUCGGCUUGUGUUGGGGACCUGCGGCUGCCGCAGGCCCUGAAAAGCAGUGGCGGGCUCGCUGUCACACCGAGCGUAGUAGAUCUCAUCUCGCUCAGGGCGUGCUGCGGGUUCCGGCCGUUAAACCACCUUCAUAACCCAAGGUUGACCUCGGAUCAGGUAGGAAGACCCGCUGAACUUAAGCAUAUCAAUAAGCGGAGGA